UCCACCCCAACAGUAUCAACAGAGAAUA
rnacentral:piRNA from 1 species